rnacentral:rRNA from 1 species
UAUUCCGGCAGCGACCUACUCUCCCGCUUAUGCAGUACCAUCGGCGCUGGAGGGCUUAACUUCCGUGUUCGGAAUGGGAACGGGUGUUUCCCCUCCGCUAUCGCCACCG